UAUAACUAAAUCAUCUCAGGAUUAUGAACUUCUAAUUGUCUCAUCAUGUUUUGUAGUUUUCUUUAUGAAGGGAACAUUAUAAUUGCUUUCUCCCAGGGGUGUGUAAACAACUAUUAGAUUACUCUUGAGGGUUCCAGCAACUAUAGUUGGCGAAAGAAGUAGCACCAAGUUAAAUAGAAAGGAGAACGAAUACCGAGGGUGGCCAGUAGUAACAUGCCUUACCUCAUUGAGAGGUUCUGGUUCACGUGGGUACACACUCGUCUCCA